GUGAGGAAUAUUGGUCAAUGGGCGGAAGCCUGAACCAGCCAAGUAGCGUGCAGGAUGACGGCCCUAUGGGUUGUAAACUGCUUUUAUACAGGAAUAAAGUUAGCCACGUGUGGUUAUUUGUAGGUACUGUAUGAAUAAGGACCGGCUAAUUCCGUGCCAGCAGCCGCGGUAAUACGGAAGGUCCAGGCGUUAUCCGGAUUUAUUGGGUUUAAAGGGAGCGUAGGCCGUCUGUUAAGCGUGUUGUGAAAUGUAGAUGCUCAACAUCUGAAUUGCAGCGCGAACUGGCAGACUUGAGUGUGCGCAACGUAGGCGGAAUUCGUGGUGUAGCGGUGAAAUGCUUAGAUAUCACGAAGAACUCCGAUUGCGAAGGCAGCUUACGGGAGCACAACUGACGCUGAAGCUCGAAAGUGCGGGUAUCGAACAGGAUUAGAUACCCGAGUAGUCC
rnacentral:rRNA from 1 species